rnacentral:misc_RNA from 1 species
AUUACCUGAUUGACUUGAUCAAGCUUGCUGAUAAUAUUAAGGCGGACAUCAGGAAAUUCAUCUUUCAGAAGAGAGAGAAAAAUGGGCAGUAGUUGCUCUAUUGUUGCAUCCUUCCCCAAAACUGGUGCCAUUCCCAUUAUAACUGAAGCCAAAGCAGAACGAACAUGUUGGGAUGAAUCUGUGGACAAUUCCUUUACACAAGGAAUAAUCCGCUGGAUUGCAAGUUCUGGGUUCAAAAUCCGGCAAAAUUUAGUUACUUUGCCUGCAGCAGCUAUACGUACUUCAGCUUCAUUAUCACAAAGUAGCCGAACAUAUGCAGGAACCAGAUCCGCCCUGGUAGGUUCAGGGCCAACAGCUUCACAUAGCUCAUAUAAUUGGUUAGCAACCAUGUAACGAACACGCCAAGACUUAUCCUGUGAGAAAUUAACUAUGACAGGGAGAAUAUGUGCCACACAGUCUUGGGGUUCCAACAACUUUCCAAGUGCUGCACAACCCUCAACAGCCAAUAGUCGAACAGAAUCUUGAUCAUCUUGUGUCAAAUCCUCAAAUAU